AUUUCUCAAGUUCCUCCUUUGCACAUACCUGGACAAACCCUUCCGAGCUCUUGCUAUUUGUAUGAUAUACAGUAAAGGUAUGAUUACCGCCCUUAAUCCGAUUUAAGAUUUAAUGGGUUGUUAAUCUGAACAAUGUUUGUUUCUCAUGUUCUGAACUUGCAGAGAAGAUUUAGACUACUUCUGUGUAAUAUUUUAGGCUAAUUGGUGACAUGUUGUUGCGCUUACUGUUCAGCGUGUUCAACUUGCUCUUUCCCCGAUUUACUUUUAAUUUUAAUCUGUUCGGCCUAUGUCGAAGUGCAGUAAAAACAAAUUUGAGUCUAUUAUCUUGCCAUUGGGGUUGUAUUAGAAAUGUUUGUGAAAUUGCCCGAAAGAAACUAUGAUUGGCCUUAACUUUAACUCACGGCUUCAAAUUAUAUGCCAAAAGAUCAUAUCUAUAUUUGUUCAGUUAGUUAUGGACCAAAUCAAUUUAUGAAACGUGAACAUGCAAUUUUAGCAAAGGAUCCGUAGACCAACAAAAAGUUGAUGAUUUAUUGUUCUUAUACAUUACAUGCCACUCACUUCAGCUUGUAGGUCCUAUUCAUGGUUGGAAAGAAUGAGAAAUCUACACAAAGAUAAGUUUACUUGGAUAAAAGAGAUUCAAAAACUAGCUAGAGGUUGAAGUAGCUUUCUGUCAAAAAUUAUUAAUUGUUAAUGAGGGUCCGAAGGGAUGAAGACAAAUACAUUUGAUGUUCCAUUAAUAGAGUAUAAUUUCGUUGAUGAUAAGUGCUUAGUUGCCAAUCACAUGGAAUUGUUUACAUGUUUCCCCUAUCCUCUAUUGUGUUCAUUUGAUAAAACUUUGUAGCUAUUUCUCCACGAAGCUAGAAACAUUUGACUAAGCAUUUUAAAUCUGCAGAAUAUUGCGUUCUCAUGUUCAGAAUUUGGAUAAAAUAUGUAGACUACUUUUGUCUAAAAUUAUUAGCUAAUUGGUGGUAUAUUGUUUGCGCUCGAUGUUGUGCGUCUUCAAAUUAAUCUUUCCCUAGCUUAGUUUUAAGUUUUAUCGAUUUUAGCUCUAUCGAAGUGCAGUAAAACCAUAUUUGAGUUUGUUAUUACUCAAACUGCAUUGGGUUCGUAUUAGAAAUGUCUGUGAAAUUGGCCGAAAGGAAUUAUGAUGGACAUAAAAAAAAAUUGAUAGCUCCUCUUUUAAAGUUGUAUGCUGAUUUAUGGUAGUCUUACUUUGUUGCAUAAAAGGGCUGUUCUCUUUCUGAUUCCCCUUCCACAUCUGUCGAUUUCAUUUCAGGAAUUGCUUCGAAGGCCAAUAAGCGUUUCCUUGCUCUUAAGGUAAAGAUUCUUGAUUUUUACUCGGUUCUUUUAUUUUGUCCAUGUAUUCUUGUUCCAAUUUAAGUGAGGAUAUUGUUUACGGUGGGUAAGUAGUUGUGCUUACCUCAUUUGAGGUUUUGAGGUCUUUUAUGCUUCAAAUCUCUUUGUAGGAUUUUUAUUUGUGGAGGGUUGAAUCUUUAGCACCUACCAAGUAUAAUCCUUUAGCUCAUACCGGGUAUAAUCUUUAGCUCCUACCAACAUAUAUACCGACUCUUAAUACUAAAGUUGUAACAAAUUGUUGAUCUCAACUUAUCUUUGCUUAAUGUUCUCUUCACUGUUGUGUUUACAGUUGAGACAAAAUUUUAGAUUAUCUGAUGUCUUAAGCCAU
rnacentral:lncRNA from 1 species